UACAGCUCCCCUCCACCGCCGGUCUACAAAUAUAAGUCGCCACCACCUCCUGUGUACCACGCCCCGGCUCCUGUUUACAAGUACAAGUCACCUCCUCCCCCCGUCUACCACUACAGCUCGCCACCACCGCCGGUUUACAAGUACAAGUCACCACCACCACCUGUGUACCACGCCCCGGCACCAGUUUACAAGUACAACUCGCCACCACCCCCAGUUUACAAGUACAGCUCGCCACCACCACCUGUUUACAAAUACAAGUCGCCACCACCACCUGUGUACCACACCCCGGCUCCUGUUUACAAGUACGAGUCGCCUCCUCCGCCGGUGUACAAGUACAGCUCCCCGCCGCCACCGGUCUACAAAUAUAAGUCGCCACCACCACCUGUGUACCACGUCCCAGCGCCGGUUUACAAGUACGAAUCUCCUCCGCCACCGGUGUACAAGUACAG
rnacentral:lncRNA from 1 species